rnacentral:rRNA from 1 species
CAGCCGCCACGGUAAUACGUAGGGUGCGAGCGUUAAUCGGAAUUACUGGGCGUAAAGCGUGCGCAGGCGGUUGUGUAAGACAGGUGUGAAAUCCCCGGGCUUAACCUGGGAACUGCGCUUGUGACUGCACAGCUAGAGUAUGGCAGAGGGGGGUGGAAUUCCACGUGUAGCAGUGAAAUGCGUAGAGAUGUGGAGGAACACCGAUGGCGAAGGCAGCCCCCUGGGCCAAUACUGACGCUCAUGCAGGAAAGCGUGGGGAGCAAACAGGAUUAGAUACCCCGGUAGUCCCUGUCUCUUAUAC